CAGAACGAACGCUGGCGGCGUGCUUAACACAUGCAAGUCGAACGCGAAAGGGACUUCGGUCCUGAGUAAAGUGGCGCACGGGUGAGUAACGCGUAGAUAACCUGUCUUCAUGUCUGGAAUAAUACGCCGAAAGGGGUACUAAUACCGGAUAUUCUUGCUUUUCAUAAGUUAUGCAAGCAAAGGUGGCCUCUGCAUAUGCUACUGCAUGAAGAGGGGUCUGCGUACCAUUAGCUAGUAGGUGGGGUAAUGGCCUACCUAGGCGACGAUGGUUAGCGGGUCUGAGAGGAUGAUCCGCCACACUGGCACUGGAACACGGGCCAGACUCCUACGGGAGGCAGCAGUGAGGAAUAUUGCGCAAUGGGGGAAACCCUGACGCAGCGACGCCGCGUGAGUGAGGAAAGGCCUUCGGGUCGUAAAGCUCUGUCAAGAGGAAAGAAGUGUACAAUGGCUAAUACCUGUUGUAUUUGACGGUACCUCUAAAGGAAGCACCGGCUAACUCCGUGCCAGCAGCUGC
rnacentral:rRNA from 1 species